rnacentral:lncRNA from 1 species
ACCUGGUUACUUUCUGUUUGACUGAGUGUUUCAUGGCUCUGGUUUGCACUCUGGAAGACUAAUCUUUGCUGAGAUUAGCUGAGUGGUUUUGGCUUCAAACUGAGGUAAGCCCAGAGCCUUGAGCUUGCUAAACAACUGCUCUACCCACCGAAUCUCAAGAUCCUCAACUCUACAGUGUGACACAUGAAAAGAGUGAGAGCAAAUGGAUGGAGUAUGUAGAAGCUCUGACAUGUGUCAGCUGUGGAAGGUUGAACUCUUCUGGGAUUUGUGAGACAGCAGAAACCUCCUGUGAAGCUACAAAUAAUAGGAAGUGUGCUUUACGGCUACUCUAUAAAGAUGGCAAAUUCCAAUAUGGCUUCCAGGGAUGUCUUGGAACAUGCUUCAAUUAUACCAAGACCAACAAUAAUAUGGUAAAGGAACAUAAAUGUUGUGAUCACCAAAAUUUGUGUAACAAGCCUUAAAAGCCCUUACCUGCCCUCCCUAUUCUACUUAGAGAUAUUCAUUGCAUCAUGCCACUGGAGCAGGUCAUCAAGCCUUCUACUGAACCAUAUCUUUAGCUCCACACCUACUUUCUAAAUAAUAUACCAAAGUAGUGUACCCAUGCUAUAUGUAUACUUCUGUUUUCUGUUGGGUACCUUGCAAUGCAUUCUAUGCCUCAUUAAAUGGAUUUCAUUGUACAAUAUGCAUUCUUAUAUUAUACUCAAUUAAACUUGUUUUGCACUUAC